GAUGAACGCUGGCGGCGUGCCUAAUACAUGCAAGUCGAGCGAACAGACGAGGAGCUUGCUCCUCUGGCGUUAGCGGCGGACGGGUGAGUAACACGUGGAUAACCUACCUAUAAGACUGGGAUAACUUCGGGAAACCGGAGCUAAUACCGGAUAAUAUAUUGAACCGCAUGGUUCAAUAGUGAAAGACGGUUUUGCUGUCACUUAUAGAUGGAUCCGCGCCGCAUUAGCUAGUUGGUAAGGUAACGGCUUACCAAGGCAACGAUGCGUAGCCGACCUGAGAGGGUGAUCGGCCACCCUGGAACUGGGACACGGUCCAGACUCCUACGGGAGGCAGCAGUAGGGAAUCUUCCGCAAUGGGCGAAAGCCUGACGGAGCAACGCCGCGUGAGUGAUGAAGGUCUUCGGAUCGUAAAACUCUGUUAUUAGGGAAGAACAAAUGUGUAAGUAACUAUGCACGUCUUGACGGUACCUAAUCAGAAAGCCACGGCUAACUACGUG
rnacentral:rRNA from 1 species